GAGGAGAUUGGAUGAUUGAGAGAGCCCUUGGAAGAGGGGAAGAGGGCUGCAUGCCCAGUGCAUAUUUGCCAUCUAGUGACCAUAGAGUAUUUGUUUCCAUUCUAGCCGCCGGUCUCACUUGAACAAGCCAUGUUAAUUGCUUCGGAAGAAACCCGAAGUAACCUGGUGAACUGACACUUGCUAAAUCCUACCCCAAAUCUGAAGUUCUUUCGGAUUUGCCGCUUGCCCCAACGAUCAGGCGGACCCGCGACUUUGACCGCUAAGGAAUAACCCUGCGGAGUGUCAUCACUGGCCUCGAGAUGGUUAAUCCAGAGUGCGUCUGGGCAGCCGCCGCUGUUGCUGGGACGGAGCGGACGGACUGGGACGCGGGGAAAGGGAUGGGGGCGGAUUGAACCGCGUAACCGAGGAAACGUCCGGAGCCAGCGACCAGGUGGGAAGUGACGGCACGCGGUCUUCCCAUCCCCGCGGGGGACGAGCCCACCCAGCGCAGAGCGAGAGGACGUCCGGCGGCGGCGAGGAGCGACGAGCGACGGGCGCGGCGGGCCGCGGGGGAGGGCAGGUUUCUCCUGGGAGCAGCAGGUGGACAAAGGCUGCGCCGCAGGGCACUGCUUCGGUCGACACUGCUGCGGGGACCCGGCGCUUCGUCCCCACCGGGGAGCAGAUCGGAUCUUGGCCGUUAGGAGAGGAGGUGGCGGGGCCCGAAGCAGCCAGAGCAGUGAGUUCGGUUUGGAGACACUGCGGCUUCAUCACCUCGUGCCUCAAGGAGCAAAGCCCAGUUCUUGGCUCACCGAGGCCAUUGGGGCGGUGCGACGUUUGGAGGAGACUGAAGGCCAGAGCUUAUGCGAGACCCCCAGGUUGCAAAGCUCUGCCUUCCAAUCGCCAAAACACCGCAGAAGUAGGACACAAGAGGAAGCUGUGCUCCCUGAAUCAGGGCUUAGGAACCCAUGCGGAAUUGGGUUGA
rnacentral:lncRNA from 1 species